rnacentral:rRNA from 1 species
CCUUACCAGGUCUUGACAUCCCCUGACAACCCAAGAGAUUGGGCGUUCCCCUUCGGGGGGACAGGGUGACAGGUGGUGCAUGGUUGUCGUCAGCUCGUGUCGUGAGAUGUUGGGUUAAGUCCCGCAACGAGCGCAACCCUUAUCCCCAGUUGCCAUCAGGUAAAGCUGGGAACUCUGGGGAGACUGCCGGUGAUAAACCGGAGGAAGGCGGGGAUGACGUCAAGUCCUCAUGGCCCUUACAUCCCGGGCUACACACGUGCUACAAUGGCAGGUACAGAGGGCUGCGAAGCCGCGAGGUGGAGCGAAUCCCAGAAAACCUGUCUCAGUCCGGAUUGAAGUCUGCAACUCGACUUCAUGAAGGCGGAAUCGCUAGUAACCGCGAAUCAGCAGGUCGCGGUGAAUACGUUCCCGGGCCUU